rnacentral:rRNA from 2 species
ACGGGGUGCAGCAGGCGCGAAACCUUUGCAAUGUGCGAAAGCACGACAAGGUUAAUCCGAGUGUCUCCCGCUAAGGGAGUCUUUUGUCAGUUCUAGAACCACUGGUGAAUAAGGGGUGGGCAAGUUCUGGUGUCAGCCGCCGCGGUAAAACCAGCACCUCGAGUGGUCAGGAGGUUUAUUGGGCCUAAAGCAUCCGUAGCCGGUUGCAUAAGUUUUCGGUUAAAUCUAUGCGCUCAACGUAUAGGCCGCCGAAAAUACUGUGCAGCUAGGGAGUGGGAGAGGUACACGGUACUCAAUAGGAAGGGGUAAAAUCCUUUGAUCUAUUGAUGACCACCUGUGGCGAAGGCGGUGUACCAGAACGCGUUCGACGGUGAGGGAUGAAAGCUGGGGGAGCAAACCGGAUUAGAUACCCGGGUAGUCCCAGCUGUAAACGAUGCAGACUCGGUGAUGCAUUGGCUUGUGGCCAAUGCAGUGCCGCAGGGAAGCC